UGGGGAAUAUUGCACAAUGGGCGCAAGCCUGAUGCAGCCAUGCCGCGUGUGUGAAGAAGGCCUUCGGGUUGUAAAGCACUUUCAGCGGGGAGGAAGGCGGUGAGGUUAAUAACCUCAUCGAUUGACGUUACCCGCAGAAGAAGCACCGGCUAACUCCGUGCCAGCAGCCGCGGUAAUACGGAGGGUGCAAGCGUUAAUCGGAAUUACUGGGCGUAAAGCGCACGCAGGCGGUCUGUCAAGUCGGAUGUGAAAUCCCCGGGCUCAACCUGGGAACUGCAUUCGAAACUGGCAGGCUAGAGUCUUAUAGAGGGGGGUAGAAUUCCAGGUGUAGCGGUGAAAUGCGUAGAGAUCUGGAGGAAUACCGGUGGCGAAGGCGGCCCCCUGGACAAAGACUGACGCUCAGGUGCGAAAGCGUGGGGAGCAAACAGG
rnacentral:rRNA from 1 species